AGCGAACGCUGGCGGCAGGCUUAACACAUGCAAGUCGAGCGGGCAUCCUUGUGGUGUCAGCGGCAGACGGGUGAGUAACGCGUGGGAACGUGCCCUUCGGUUCGGAAUAACUCAGGGAAACUUGAGCUAAUACCGGAUACAUGCGAGAGCAGAAAGGCUUAUCUGCCGAAGGAUCGGCCCGCGUCUGAUUAGCUAGUUGGUGAGGUUAUGGCUCACCAAGGCGACGAUCAGUAGCUGGUCUGAGAGGAUGAUCAGCCACACUGGGACUGAGACACGGCCCAGACUCCUACGGGAGGCAGCAGUGGGGAAUAUUGGACAAUGGGGGCAACCCUGAUCCAGCCAUGCCGCGUGAGUGAUGACGGCCUUAGGGUUGUAAAGCUCUUUUCUUCGGGACGAUAAUGACGGUACCGGAGGAAUAAGCCCCGGCUAACUUCGUG
rnacentral:rRNA from 1 species